rnacentral:rRNA from 1 species
AGAGUUUGAUCCUGGCUCAGGAUGAACGCUAGCUACAGGCUUAACACAUGCAAGUCGAGGGGAAACGAUAGAGAAAGCUUGCUUUUUCUAGGCGUCGACCGGCGCACGGGUGAGUAACGCGUAUCCAACCUGCCCAUCACUUGGGGAUAACCUUGCGAAAGUAAGACUAAUACCCAAUGACGUCUCUAGAAGACAUCUGAAAGAGAUUAAAGAUUUAUCGGUGAUGGAUGGGGAUGCGUCUGAUUAGCUUGUUGGCGGGGUAACGGCCCACCAAGGCGACGAUCAGUAGGGGUUCUGAGAGGAAGGUCCCCCACAUUGGAACUGAGACACGGUCCAAACUCCUACAGGAGGCAGCAGUGAGGAAUAUUGGUCAAUGGGCGAGAGUCUGAACCAGCCAAGUAGCGUGCAGGAUGACGGCCCUAUGGGUUGUAAACUGCUUUUAUAAGGGAAUAAAGUGAGUCUCGUGAGACUUUUUGCAUGUACCUUAUGAAUAAGGACCGGCUAAUUCCGUGCCAGCAGCCGCGGUAAUACGGAAGGUCCGGGCGUUAUCCGGAUUUAUUGGGUUUAAAGGGAGCGUAGGCCGGAGAUUAAGCGUGUUGUGAAAUGUAGACGCUCAACGUCUGCACUGCAGCGCGAACUAGUUUCCUUGAGUACGCACAAAGUGGGCGGAAUUCGUGGUGUAGCGGUGAAAUGCUUAGAUAUCACGAAGAACUCCGAUUGCGAAGGCAGCUCACUGGAGCGCAACUGACGCUGAAGCUCGAAAGUGCGGGUAUCGAACAGGAUUAGAUACCCUGGUAGUCCGCACGGUAAACGAUGGAUGCCCGCUGUUGGUCUGAAUAGGUCAGCGGCCAAGCGAAAGCAUUAAGCAUCCCACCUGGGGAGUACGCCGGCAACGGUGAAACUCAAAGGAAUUGACG